AGAGGCUAUCCGGGUUUGGCCUUAAACCCUCUGCUGCUUUCUCCAGGCCCCAUGUGCCGUCGGCGGCGGCCUCCCUGCAGCCAAGCCGUCGCGUCCGCGUCGUGUUCGAGGACCCUGACGCGACGGACUCCGACUCUGACGACGACGAGGACGCCGGCGCCGCCUCAAAGAAGCGCUACUUUGAGCUCUUCAUUGGCAAGCCAGCUUCGUCGACGAAGCAGGCCUCUCCGGCGUCCACCGUCGCUGCCUACGCCAACAUCGGCAAGGUUGGGAGCACCUGCUACCGUGGUGUGCGCCUCCGGAAGUGGGGCAAGUGGGCGGCGGAGAUCCGCAACCCCUUCACCGGCCAUAGGGAGUGGCUUGGCACCUUUGACACUGCUGAUGCGGCCUCCGCCGCCUACCAGUCUGCCUCCCGCAACUUCGCCGAAGAGAAGCGCCGCCGUGGUGUGGCCUCCUCUGCCUCACCUGCUAGUUCGGCGACCCCUACUCCGACUGCGUCCUCGUCGUCCUCGACUUCUGCCGCGCCAUUCGCCCACC
rnacentral:lncRNA from 1 species